GGUCUGUUCGUCUAGGGGUUAGGACACCAGAUUUUCAUUCUGGUAACACGGGUUCGAUUCCCGUACAGACUA
rnacentral:tRNA from 2 species